rnacentral:rRNA from 1 species
CCUACGGGAGGCAGCAGUGGGGAAUAUUGCGCAAUGGGCGAAAGCCUGACGCAGCGACGCCGCGUGAGGGAUGAAGGUCUUCGGAUCGUAAACCUCUGUCAGCAGGGAAGAACGGUCACUGUGCUAAUCAGCAGUGAAUUGACGGUACCUGCAAAGGAAGCACCGGCUAACUCCGUGCCAGCAGCCGCGGUAAUACGGAGGGUGCGAGCGUUGAUCGGAAUUACUGGGCGUAAAGCGCUCGUAGGCGGUAUGUCAAGUCAAGGGUGAAAUCCCCGCGCUCAACGUGGGAACUGCCUUUGAAACUGGGAAACUGGAGUGUGGCGGAGGAUAGGGGAAUUCCAGGUGGAGGAGUGGAAUCCGUAGAUAUCUGGAGGAACAUCAGUGGCGAAGGCGACUAUCUGGCACAUAACUGACGCUGAGGAGCGAAAGCGUGGGUAGCAAACAGGAUUAGAUACCCUGGUAAGUC